rnacentral:rRNA from 1 species
UGGGGAAUCUUGCACAAUGGGCGAAAGCCUGAUGCAGCGACGCCGCGUGCGGGAUGAAGGCCUUCGGGUUGUAAACCGCUUUCAGCAGGGACGAGGCGAAAGUGACGGUACCUGCAGAAGAAGCCCCGGCUAACUACGUGCCAGCAGCCGCGGUAAUACGUAGGGGGCAAGCGUUAUCCGGAUUCAUUGGGCGUAAAGCGCUCGUAGGCGGUCUGUUAGGUCGGGAGUUAAAUCCGGGGGCUCAACCCCCGUUCGCUCCCGAUACCGGCAGACUUGAGUUUGGUAGGGGAAGGUGGAAUUCCUAGUGUAGCGGUGGAAUGCGCAGAUAUUAGGAAGAACACCAGUGGCGAAGGCGGCCUUCUGGGCCAUAACUGACGCUGAGGAGCGAAAGCUAGGGGAGCAAACAGGAUUAGAUACCCUGGUAGUCCUAGCCGUAAACGAUGGACACUAGGUGUGGGGGAAUAUUUCUUCCGUGCCGCAGCUAACGCAUUAAGUGUCCCGCCUGGGGAGUACGGCCGCAAGGCUA